AUCUGCCGGUGCUCGCAAGCGUGUUGAUCGAAGCCAUAUUAGUCACCGGCCGGGGAGGCUGCAAGAGAAAAGAAGCACGACAUGGCAGGUGGAUAUAUUACCUGCCACAUGAGGCCUAAGCAUUGUGUCCAACAGAAGUGUGACACAUGGCAAGGGCAGCUAGAUAAGGAAGAGUUUACCUGCGGUCCUUGGCUGAAGCCCCAUUACCAUGUGGAGAGUGGGACCCAAUGGCUGAGAUUUUUGAGAUGGGCCAUUCGUUGAAGGAGCUGAAGUCGUGCCGCUGAAAUCAUGGCUCCAAAAGAGCCCCGCCAGAGACCGGAACAUCCAUCUCAAAUAAGAUGGUAGUCAUAUCAACCUUGCAAUUCUAGUUUCCACUUCGCAUCAUGCAGGCCUAGAGAUAAGGCCAUUCGUCACUGCAUGAACCCCCGAUCCCAAACAAAUGCUGCAGAGGCCAUCAUAUGCAAGUGCUUGAAGAUUAUCAGAGUCAUUCCUCAUCGCAACCUCAUAUGGAGAAACCAAGCCAACAAACAAAAAUCUCUUGUCCACCUGAGCAAAAAUAUUUAGGCCUGAAGUGCCUACAACUCUAGCAUAAGAUGAUCAUUGUACUGCAAUAAGUAAGACCGCAAGAAUAAUGUCAAUGCACAAAGUGUAAUAAUUGUAUGAGCCUAACAGUAUGCUAAGUGCUUCACUUAUUAGCUAGUUAAGAAGCAGCUGCAAUGCAGUUUGAGCAUAGUUUGGAAAUCGAUGCUCUUGUAUAAAAGAAAGCAACGUUCAGUUACAAAAAGAAAGGUGAUUGCUUGCAUUUAGAACGGAGACAUUUAACCCUCAACAAUUGAA